CUCCCAAAGUGCUGGGAUCACAAGCAUGAGCCAUGGGGCCCAGCCAAAUGUUCAUAUUUUUAUUUUUAACUCCCGUGGUUCAACUUUGGGCAAGACAACCUUCUUUCAGUAUCAGUUUCCUGACCUGCAAAAUGAUGCUAUUAACCAAUUAAGAAAAUCGACUAAUAACUUAAGAGUUCUUGGGAAAAAAGUUUUCCUAUAUAUAGUAUGUGUGUUACCAUGCUGACUGUGACUUAGGGCCCUGGUAGUUUCUGUAGCAGGAGGCUGUAUGGGUCUGGGGGCAGUUGAGAAUGCUAGAGUCGAUGACUGGUGUGGAAAUUCCCAGGGGGUGGUGACUCUGUUUUUCACCUUGCCGUGUCCAGGCAGGCCAGAGAGAAUGAGUACUCAAGACACCUGGCCCAAACAUUCAUGAAGAAGACACCAAGUCAGAAGAGACUUCCUCCUUUGCAUGAUCCUGUAAGGACGGAAGAGCUCUUCCCAUAUGCUAGGAGCUUUAGUAUUUAUUGUCUCAUUCACAACAACCCUGCAAGGUAUGUCUUGUUUUCUCCAUUUUACACAAAACACAGUUGAGGCACACAGAGGAUAAGUAACUGCCAAGGUUUCUUAGCUGGCAAGUGGUAGAGCUGUAUUUGAACAUGGGUCUGUUUCGUGUCGAAGCCCAAACUCCACAUUUCUGGUUUGUCUCUAGCAGAUUAGUUUAGACUAAGAAACAGCCCAGGCACUGGGCCACUGUGCUCGCUGACUCUGCCUUGUUCACUUGGUGAUGCUGUGUGUGACAGAUUAACACUUUAUACCUUGGCUUACCUAUCAGUCACUUGGGGAUUUGGGAUUUAUGGGAAAAGGCCCUACUCAUGCAGGGUAGAGAGAUUUUAAGAGAUACAGCUAUUAGUAAUGGCUUUAGAAUCUUUUGCAUGUAGAAAGUUCCUUAGACUACCAACUAAUGAGCAAAGUGACUUCCAAGUUUAAGUGAAUUCUAUAUAAAGAAUACAAGACACCCUUGAGGAUAUAACUGAGGAAAAAGGCCCUGAAAUUUUAGUAUCCUUGCUUUGGUGGAAACUCAAUAGGUAUCAAAUGAAAUAAUGAGGUCAGAUAUGUUACAUAAUACCCUGAUGUUUAUCUCUGGUAAUUAAGUCUGCAGAAAAAGACUUAUUGGAAUAAAUCUUUUGUCUCUAAACUCUGCUCAUAUGAAAUAGCACCAUUUGGCAAAGGCCAAAUUCCUGGUGGAUAUCUCACUGAGGAAGCAAACAUUUUCAAGAAUGCCAGAGUUAAAGGGAGACAACACACACCCUAAACAAGACUGUGAAGAUACUAUGAAACUAUUCUGUUGAAACCAUAAGCAUAGUAUCUUUUCCAGGGUGAGGGGGUUUCUGUAACUCUCUUGAGUGAAGUCGCUCUUUCUGCAACCCCCCACUUCACCUGCAUUAUGGAUUUGCACAUAAAGGAGUUUUUCUGAAUCUUCCCUUCUUCUACAGACCAACAAUGUUUCCUCUCUCCUCAGAACUCCCACUUGAGGGAGUUGCCAAGACAUUCCUCUGUUUGCCCAUUAGCAGAGUCAGGGAUAUCAGAGUAUUUGCAAGCCAGCUAGAGAGCCUUUGAUGGCUUUUAUGUUAUGUUGAAAACAAAAUGUUGUGUUAUUGUGCAAGAGGAAGAUUAUGUGUGUGUCAUCAUUUUGUGCUUGGUCUCCUACGUCCAAUCCUGCUCUAAGUUGUCAUUUCAUUUCCUAACCUCCUCCCCUCCCAGUCAGGUAUUUCUGUUCCAUCCCUGGGUUUGUAGCCUCCCUUUUUUUUUCUUGAGUUCUGUGCAGCUCUGCAUUUCAGCAGACGUUUCCUAUGUAUCAAGCACUGUGCGGGGAGCUAGGGACACACAAGGUAGAAUGUGAUCCUGGCCUCUGAGAAGCUUACAAUCUUGGGAGACAGAUAUAAACAAUCUAUUUUCCUUAGAGUUUCCUUCUCCUGAAGCUUGGGCACCCAAACCCAUCACCACUGUCCCCCCCUUCAAUAGUUUCUCCUGUUUACUUGGUGGGGAGCAUUUCUUUAUGUAUUUGGAGACUUUCUAUAUUAUAGAGUUGCUGUUGCUACAAGUGAAAUUAGUCUAGCUUCCUACAGAGAGGGAAGUUACUCUCUCCCUGUUGAUUUUCAGAGAAGAAAGAACCCUUGUAAAGAUAGAUUCCAAACCAAGAGACCCAAGGAGCAAGCGCAUUAUUGUGCCAUAAAUAGGCCAUCACUUGGGCAGGUCCUGGGACAGCCUGGGAAAGGGGACUCGGUAAUCUUAGGGCCCACUCUCCCUUUAAUCUGCUCUCCCAGACAAAGCAGACCGGAAGUGUUGACUUUGGCAAUAGGGAACUGGCCAAUAGCCUGCAGCUCAGUGAAUGAAAUUAGAAUCUUGAGUGGAUGGGGAGAGGGAGGUAUCUCCAACACUAAUAGCAAUCAAAGGGUUUGUGCUAUGGUUAUAAUCAGUGUGGCAGAGGAAAGUCAAAGGAAUACCAUUUCCAAUAAACUCAGAGGCGUGAAAAGGCAAAUCAAUUUUAUGAACACCCAUGAAAUUGGUUGGUUGUGACCACUAUGGGUGGAAACACUGAGCUUCAGUGGAAUUUCCCUUAAUAUUAAACCAGGAAACUAGAGUCCCUGGUUAUCUCUCUGUCGUAUACAGCAGCUGACAUCUAUUCCUCCUGGGGAUUGGGCAGAUCUUAAAGUUGAUGUCCUAAGCUUCUGACUGGGAUCACAGCUCUGGAUAGGGGUUGGGUCAGGCCAUCGCCUUUAGAAAACCAGUUAUUUAGCCUCUCUUUCCAAUGGGAUUUCUCUGAAACCUUGUUCAUGAUGAUGCCAACUUGUGUCUCCUUGAAAAAUCAAAACAAUGGAAUUAAACUUGGGUGUUCUCCUAUAGAUCUAGCAUUUUAUGUCACAGUCAGGGUAGACAAAUGUGCUGUUGGCUCCUGGCAGGCUCAUGUGCAGCUCUGGAGAUGUUCUAAAGUGGGUGCAGUCAACAGCCACCCAUCUGCAUACUCCGCAGUGGUCUGGUUUAACAAUUCUGACCUAUCAUCCCUCUAAACCUUGAAAACUCUGUGGUCUUGGCGUCCAAGCCAUGUCUUCCAGUAGACUCUCACACCCAGAAUCAGCAAAACCUCUUUUGUCAGACCAUAUCUUGAGUUUAGGCUUCAAAAAAAUGGCAUCGUGGGUUAGCUUUGUGGGGCGGGGUGAGUAAAACUCCAGUCCUGACUUUUAGGGGUAUGGCUGGUCUUGGGGGCUUGGCAUGGUGGGAAGAAGGGGCCAAGAUAGUGGUUGGCAUGAGGAUAUGGAGAACUUUGGAAGCAGAGCCAGAGACUCUGAGGAUUGAGGCCCAGGAAAGUUUGGCACGAGUAACAGCUGGGUAUUUAACCAGGAACAGUCACUCUAUUUUUCUGAGCCUUGGCGGUAUGUCAGAGCAACAAGCAGCUCUAGCAGGGUCUACGUCCUUCCUAUUGUCUCCACCCCAACCUCACUCAUCGUCCCAAACAUCUGCUUCCAAUUCGGGCCCUUGCCUUCUUGUCUGAUUCCUGUACAAACCGCGGGUGGCACGGGUGAGGGGCAGGUCUGCAGGUGUGGACUGGGGAAGAAGAGGAAGGCUCUGGAAGAAGCUGCUUACAGGUUUAGUUUCAGGUCCUGAUGAAGGAGUAAGGAUUUGAUCUAUUAAAAAAUUUUAUAUUUGUGUGUGUGUGUGUAUACAAAAUGUAAACAGUAAGUUGUUUCACUUCCUGGGUAAAAGUAACAAUCUGAGGGAGGGAAUUGGGACCAGCUGGAGAAGUCUCUGCGCCAUCACAUGGCCUGCUUUUCAAAGGCAGCACAGAGUCACUCCAGAGGCAGCAAACUGAAGUGAUUAGUGCCCACAAGGAGCAGCCGAAGGUGCUAAUGAGGUAUUAACACCGCUUCUCCAGCUAGCAGCUGUGGAUACUCCGAACAGACCAGUGAGGCAGAGCAGCAAAAGCAGCCUGGAACUGGAGGCGGCCAGGAGAGGAGCAGCAAGCCGGUGCCCACAGUCAGCCACGGCACCCUCAGCAGGCCCAUUAGGAGGAAUUGAGAAGCUUCUCCAGUGUUUGCCCUAAAAUCUCAAUCCAUUUUAAGUGACAGAAAGUGACAAAAAACACCCCAGAGGAAAAUACUGGGGCCUAAGGGAGUAAUCUCAGAACUCUUGUAAUAAUAAUAAUAAUAGCAGCCAACAUCUAAUACAUGCUUACUCUGUGCCAGGCCCUAUUCUAAGCACUUUGUCUGUGUUAAUUCAUUUAAUAUUCACAUCAUUCUAUAAGCUGAAGACAAUCAUUAUUCCCAUUUUACAGAUGAGGAAACUGAAGUACAGAGAAGUAAGUUGCGCAGGAUUACAUGUCCAGUGGAUGGAUGUAGGUGUCAAAUUGGCUCUGACACGUUUUCUCACACAAGCCCAAAGGAGGUGGAGUUAGGGGCAGGACAGACAAGUCUGGAGAACACUGGUAAGAGAGUUGCUAGUGUUCUGUUCAUCCUCUAACCCAGGGAGACAUUGUGUAGGUCUGUGACUUCUGGGACCCCAGGGAGCCAGUCUGGCCGGCACUUCUUUGUCCAGUCCUGCUGCCUGGUGCCUCCUGAGGUUUCUGUUUCCCAAUCAGGGUACGGGUUCCAUUCUCCACCUCCCUCUCCAGGGCAGGAGGCACCCUCCAUCCCUCAAUCCAAAUAAGCUGGGAGAGAUGCCUCAGGGAGUUGGCCAGGCUCCAGGCCCCUGAUGGGAAGUGGAAGAAGACACUUACUAAAGGGCAAGAUCUGGCCAAGACCUGUGGGCUACCAGGAUCCCCAUUAAACUUCAAAGCUGAGCGCUGAGGCCGAGCCCAUCAUUUGACUGGCAACUCAGGAGCUGGUUGGACAGACCAGCUCACCGUGGCGGGCCUCUGUCUUGCAGAGAAGCAACCGUGUGGAUAGUGACAGGCCACAGGCCUCUUCCAGCUGUUGCUUCCAGGGCUGAGCCAGAGGCCACUUUCCAUGGGCACAGCCCAUUUUUACUAAGAUGAAAGGUUCUAGGAGGCUUACCUGACCAGGCCAGAGGCCCAAGGACGGUGGCUGUGAAGCACCACCAGCUCUCAGUGAACGUGGUCUGAACCAUCUCAGCUCGUUCCUGCCUUUGUUCCUUUACUUGUUCUGUGCACUCUGCAAGGAAUGAGGCCCAUCCCGUCCUUCCUCCCUGCUACCUCCCCAUCCUUCAAACCUGGCUCGUGCCAGAGGAUAUGAGGAUUAAAUAAGAGAACUCAUGAAAAGUGCCGGUACUGUGUCUGACACUAAGUGUAAAAAAAAAAAUUAGUAGUUAGCAAUAGUAAACCACUAUCCACAGUUGUCUUUGGUUAUGUUGUGGAUUUGAAUUUGGAAGAUCUGGGUUCAAAUUUCUGACUUGCCACUGCCUAGGUGUAUACUCUGCAUAAAUUGCUUAGUCGCUCUUAACUUUAACUGGGAAAUAGUGAUUCUAACAACGUACAAGUGUACCCGACAGAGGGCACGUAAAGCUUAAAUGAGACAAUGGAUGUGAAUAGUGUUUUGUAAAUCACAAAACAUCCUCUUAAUUCCAACAUUGCCUCUCCCACGUCCACUGGUACUGACCUUGGCCUGACCUGGGUAUAGCUAAAUUCCUUUGCUCUUCCAUUCAGCAAAGACAAACCAAGAAUUUUUUCAGAAGAAACUUUGGUUUAAAAAAUUAAAGGACUAAACUAAAGGAAAAUGCAAAAGAAGAGGAGUGAUUGGGCUUUUGGAAUACUGAUGUCUCCUGCUACUAAGUCCAACCUCAGGGGCCAAACUCACUGUCAGUUAUGGCCAUAGUUACCAUUUGCUCUCCCUCCUCAGUCUUGCCAGGGUCUUCCUGACAUGGAUUCAGAGUUGAAGGGCACUGAGGAAAUGAAGAGCCCAGAACAAUUCUGAGCCACCCUCCUCCCUUACACACACACCCAGGAUGUGGCUAAAACUUACAGACCUUAAAAUAUUAUGUGCCCAAGCCUCACAGCAAGUCCAGCUACCAGAGGCCAGUUUCCUGAGAAGCUAAUGAGGCUUACAUUGAGGGCCGCUCACCUACAGGAGUUCCUUCCAAGGUCAUAUUUUUUUUCAAAGUCAUAGUAUUUGCUAAGGUAAAAACAACAAACAAACAAAAAAAACCAAAAAACUAUAGCUAGGUGUGGUGGUAUGCACCUGUAGUCUCAGCACUUGGGAGGCUGAGGCAGGUGGAUCAAUUGAGCCCAGGAGUUUGAGAGAGUAGUGCACUAUGAUCACACCUGUGAAUAGCCACCACACUCCAGCCUGGGCAACAUAGCAAGACCCUGUCUCCUCCCAAAAAAAUUUAACUGUAGUCAGUCUCCACCCUGAUUUCUUAUCUGUCACACCUCCCUUCAUGUCAGGCUGUGGUGAGGUGGCUGUGGCAUUUGGGAGUAUGACUAAAGGAAUUUGAGUUGGGAAUAUACUCAGUUGGGCCUUCUGUAAUAUAUUCAUUUGGUUAUGUUGGGAAAACACUCCGUUGGGUUGUAUGUAAUAUGUGUAUGUCAUGUAGUAUAUUUAUUGCUAACUGUCCUGAUUAUAAAUGGCUUGUAGAAAUAA